UACGUAGGGGGCGAGCGUUGUCCGGAAUCAUUGGGCGUAAAGCGCGUGUAGGCGGCUCGAUAAGUCCGGUGUGAAACCUUGGGGCUCAACCCCAAGCCUGCACUGGAUACUGUCGAGCUAGAGUCCGGGAGGGGAGAGCGGAAUUCCUAGUGUAGCGGUGAAAUGCGCAGAUAUUAGGAAGAACACCGGUGGCGAAGGCGGCUCUCUGGAACGGUACUGACGCUGAGACGCGAAAGCGUGGGGAGCGAACAGG
rnacentral:rRNA from 1 species